UGAAGCUCCAUUUGAAAAUGAGAUCUAACCAACCAGCCCUGUACUACCUGUUUAUUCCAGAAAACUACUUUCUCUCACUCUUCUACUUAAUUCUUUUGACUAUAAUCUAACAAUUGUUCUUAGAUCUAGUCACCCUUUGGAAUGGAUCAGUGAGAUAUUCUAGCUAGAGUAAAGAACAGUCCCCAGUGCAAUGUAUAGAAGGAGGAUGUGACAUACAGACUGCAGCAAGUUACUCUGAAAGGAGGUAGAAAAACCAUGCUCAGUCUCCUCUCAAAAAAUGACCCCCCACUCCCUGCAAUACCCAACUAUUCAGGAAAUAAUUACCUGGAAGAAACAUGGCCUGGUAAAUAACACAUAUGAGCAGUCUCUGACAGAGGUUCUCCUUCCAGAUUUCUCUCUGGGUUAUGUGAUAUCUUUUGGCAAAAUCAUUUACAAUCCCGUGCUUCGUUUUAUCUAUAAGAAUAACCUGACCUGUAAAACAUUUUGAGCUCCAUAAAACUCAACAAGCUGCAUUAGCUGCAGCUUAUGUUAUAGUUAGCUGUUAUAAACUUGCUAACGUAGCUGUUAUGAACUAGCAACUCUGAGCCAUUAAGUUCACAUGCAUGUGAUGUGAAGUGAUUCAGGACAACGUUAGCUUAGAUUCUAUUUCUCUUACUUAAAAACAUCAUAUUAUACAGUCAUCAGUACUGGAGUAAUGUUAGUAUUCAGAAUAACCUUCAUAUUCUUUUCUCUAAACUUAGAAAUGUACAGACAGCCAAAUUUCCAGCUGAAUAGCAGGUUCUUCAUUCUUGUAUGACCUUUAAGUCCAGGCAUAUAAUGAUGGGAGAAGCUUAAAGUACUUCUUUCUAAAAUUAUUAUUAUUUUAAACUAAUACGGAUCCUAGAGGAAGUUUCUAUCAUGCCUAGGAACAACCAUCUGUAACAACCAUUUACAAAUACUGCCAAAGAAAGACUAAACAGUUGUGUUUUUCAUGCAUCUCAAGUACUUGCUGUUGUUUAAAAUAUUUCCUACCUGAUAUUUUUUUGUCUUUUUGUUUUGUUUUGUUUUGUUUGCAAUUUUUUUCUUUGCAGUCAUUGUAUUGAAUGCUUUGGCUGUUCCACAACUAUAGUAUUCCGUAGUUACUAUGCCUUUGUGAGACACUGACUAAUAAAUUCACUUUAAAGUUCCUCAGUUCUGUCCAGAGUAAUGUAAAAAAAGUUUUGCUUACAACCCCUUUCUUAUUAAGUGCCACAGCUGAGCAGCAUACACAGCAGCUGACUACAAGGGCCUUACACAGCCUGUGUACCUGAACACGCACAGCGAUCUGCAUCUGCCAUCUAU
ensembl:lncRNA